CCUACGGGAGGCAGCAGUGGGGAAUAUUGGGCAAUGGGCGCAAGCCUGACCCAGCAACGCCGCGUGAAGGAAGAAGGCUCUCGGGUUGUAAACUUCUUUUUAUGGGGAAGAACAGAAGACGGUACCCCUUGAAUAAGCCACUGCUAACUACGUGCCAUCAGCCGCGGUAAUUCGCAGGUCGCAAGCGUUGUCCGGAUUUACUGGGUGUAAAGGGCGUGCAGCCGGAGAGACAAGUCAGAUGUGAAAUCCACGGGCUCAACCCGUGCACUGCAUUUGAAACUGUUUCCCUUGAGUGUCGGAGAGGUAAUCGGAAUGCCUUGUGUAGCGGUGAAAUGCGUAGAUAUAAGGAAGAACACCAGUGGCGAAGGCGGAUUACUGGACGACAACUGACGGUGAGGCGCGAAAGCGUGGGGAGCAAACAGGAUUAGAUACCCCUGUAGUC
rnacentral:rRNA from 1 species